AUUGAACGCUGGCGGCAGGCCUAACACAUGCAAGUCGAGCGAGCGGCGGACGGGUGAGUAAUGUAUGGGGAUCUGCCCGAUAGAGGGGGAUAACUACUGGAAACGGUAGCUAAUACCGCAUACUAUCGGAUGAACCCAUAUGGGAUUAGGUAGUUGGUGGGGUAAAGGCUCACCAAGCCGACGAUCCCUAGCUGGUCUGAGAGGAUGACCAGCCACACAGGGACUGAGACACGGCCCAGACUCCUACGGGAGGCAGCAGUGGGGAAUAUUGCGAAAUGGGGGCAACCCUGACGCAGCCAUGCCGCGUGAAUGAAGAAGGCCUUCGGGUUGUAAAGUUCUUUCGGUAGAGAGGCGUUAACUACAGAAGAAGCACCGGCUAACUCCGUGCCAGAAGCCGCGGUAAUAC
rnacentral:rRNA from 1 species